rnacentral:rRNA from 1 species
UACGUAGGGAGCGAGCGUUGUCCGGAAUUACUGGGCGUAAAGGGCGCGUAGGCGGGAAAUUAAGUCAGGUGUGAAAACUCCGAGCUCAACUUGGAGAUUGCACUUGAAACUGGUAUUCUUGAGGGCAGGAGAGGAAAGUGGAAUUCCUAGUGUAGCGGUGAAAUGCGUAGAUAUUAGGAGGAACACCAGUGGCGAAGGCGACUUUCUGGACUGCACCUGACGCUGAGGCGCGAAAGCGUGGGUAGCGAACGGGAUUAGAUACCCCCGUAGUCCCUGA